rnacentral:tRNA from 1 species
UCCCUGGAGGACUAGUGGUUUGGCCAUGGCACUCUCAGCACUGUGGUCUGGGUUCGAUUCCCGGCAAGGGAA